rnacentral:rRNA from 1 species
UGGACUGCCUUUUGCAUAAUGAGCCUGCGAGUUGUGGUGUCUGGCAAGGUUAAGCAAACGCGAAGCCGUAGCGAAAGCGAGUCUGAAUAGGGCGCUUAGUCAGAUGCUGCAGACCCGAAACGAAGUGAUCUAUCCAUGAGCAAGUUGAAGCUAGUGUAAGAACUAGUGGAGGACUGAACCCAUAGGCGUUGAAAAGCCCCGGGAUGACUUGUGGAUAGGGGUGAAAGGCCAAUCAAACUUCGUGAUAGCUGGUUCUCUCCGAAAUAUAUUUAGGUAUAGCGUUGUGUCGUAAUAUAAGGGGGUAGAGCACUGAAUGGGCUAGGGCAUACACCAAUGUACCAAACCCUAUCAAACUCCGAAUACCUUAUAUGUAAUCACAGCAGUCAGGCGGCGAGUGAUAAAAUCCGUCGUCAAGAGGGAAACAACCCAGACUACCAGCUAAGGUCCCUAAAUCUUACUUAAGUGGAAAACGAUGUGAAGUUACUUAAACAACCAGGAGGUUGGCUUAGAAGCAGCCAUCCUUUAAAGAAAGCGUAAUAGCUCACUGGUCUAGUGAUUUUGCGCGGAAAAUAUAACGGGGCUAAAGUAAGUACCGAAGCUGUAGACUUGCGCACAACUUAGAUUAUUUAAGUUUAGAAUAUGAGAAACUAAGUUAUAUGUUUAGUUAUAUUUUUACUGAUUUUUAUAGAGUAAAGAUAGAAAUAAAACUUAGUAAAAUCAGUAAAAAUAUUCUUAGACUAAAGUUAAGUAGUUUAAGUUGUGUGCAAGUGGUAGGAGAGCGUUCUAUUUGCGUCGAAGGUAUACCGGUAAGGAGUGCUGGAGCGAAUAGAAGUGAGCAUGCAGGCAUGAGUAGCGAUAAUUAAUGUGAGAAUCAUUAACGCCGUAAACCCAAGGUUUCCUACGCGAUGCUCGUCAUCGUAGGGUUAGUCGGGUCCUAAGUCGAGUCCGAAAGGGGUAGACGAUGGCAAAUUGGUUAAUAUUCCAAUACCAACAUUAGUGUGCGAUGGAAGGACGCUUAGGGCUAAGGGGGCUAGCGGAUGGAAGUGCUAGUCUAAGGUCGUAGGAGGUUAUACAGGCAAAUCCGUAUAACAAUACUCCGAGAACUGAAAGGCUUUUUGAAGUCUUCGGAUGGAUAGAAGAACCCCUGAUGCCGUCGAGCCAAGAAAAGUUUCUAAGUUUAGCUAAUGUUGCCCGUACCGUAAACCGACACAGGUGGGUGGGAUGAGUAUUCUAAGGCGCGUGGAAGAACUCUCUUUAAGGAACUCUGCAAAAUAGCACCGUAUCUUCGGUAUAAGGUGUGGUUCGCUUCGUAUUAGGAUUUACUCCGAAAGCGAAGAAACUUACAACAAAGAGUCCCUCCCGACUGUUUACCAAAAACACAGCACUCUGCUAACUCGUAAGAGGAUGUAUAGGGUGUGACGCCUGCCCGGUGCUCGAAGGUUAAUUGAUGGGGUUAGCAUUAGCGAAGCUCUUGAUCGAAGCCCGAGUAAACGGCGGCCGUAACUAUAACGGUCCUAAGGUAGCGAAAUUCCUUGUCGGUUAAAUACCGACCUGCAUGAAUGGCGUAACGAGAUGGGAGCUGUCUCAAAGAGGGAUCCAGUGAAAUUGUAGUGGAGGUGAAAAUUCCUCCUACCCGCGGCAAGACGGAAAGACCCCGUGGACCUUUACUACAGCUUGACACUGCUACUUGGAUAAGAAUGUGCAGGAUAGGUGGGAGGCUUUGAGUAUAUGACGCCAGUUGUAUAUGAGCCAUUGUUGAGAUACCACUCUUUCUUAUUUGGGUAGCUAACCAGCUUGAGUUAUCCUCAAGUGGGACAAUGUCUGGUGGGUAGUUUGACUGGGGCGGUCGCCUCCCAAAUAAUAACGGAGGCUUACAAAGGUUGGCUCAGAACGGUUGGAAAUCGUUCGUAGAGUAUAAAGGUAUAAGCCAGCUUAACUGCAAGACAUACAAGUCAAGCAGAGACGAAAGUCGGUCUUAGUGAUCCGGUGGUUCUGUGUGGAAGGGCCAUCGCUCAAAGGAUAAAAGGUACCCCGGGGAUAACAGGCUGAUCUCCCCCAAGAGCUCACAUCGACGGGGAGGUUUGGCACCUCGAUGUCGGCUCAUCGCAUCCUGGGGCUGGAGCAGGUCCCAAGGGUAUGGCUGUUCGCCAUUUAAAGCGGUACGCGAGCUGGGUUCAGAACGUCGUGAGACAGUUCGGUCCCUAUCUGCCGUGGGCGUAAGAAGAUUGAAGAGAUUUGACCCUAGUACGAGAGGACCGGGUUGAACAAACCACUGGUGUAGCUGUUGUUCUGCCAAGAGCAUCGCAGCGUAGCUAAGUUUGGAAAGGAUAAACGCUGAAAGCAUCUAAGCGUGAAGCCAACUCUAAGAUGAAUCUUCUCUAAGCUCUCUAGAAGACUACUAGUUUGAUAGGCUGGGUGUGUAAUGGAUGAAAGUCCUUUAGCUGACCAGUACUAAUAGAGCGUUUGGCUUAUCUUUAAUAAAGCAU